rnacentral:rRNA from 1 species
GACGAACGCUGGCGGCGUGCUUAACACAUGCAAGUCGAGCGAUGAAGCACCUUCGGGCGUGGAUUAGCGGCGAACGGGUGAGGAACACGUGAGGAAUCUGCCUUUCACUUCGGGAUAACUCCGGGAAACCGGGGCUAAUACCGGAUAUUUUCAACUGGCGGCAUCGCCGGUUGAAGAAAGUUUUUCGGUGAAAGAUGACCUCGCGGCCUAUCAGCUUGUUGGUGAGGUAAUGGCUCACCAAGGCGACGACGGGUAGCCGGCCUGAGAGGGCGACCGGCCACACUGGGACUGAGACACGGCCCAGACUCCUACGGGAGGCAGCAGUGGGGAAUAUUGGGCAAUGGAGGAAACUCUGACCCAGCGACGCCGCGUGAGGGAUGAAGGCCUUCGGGUUGUAAACCUCUUUCAGCAGGGAAAAAGCGAAAGUGAAGGUACCUGCAGAAGAAGCACCGGCUAACUAUGUGCCAGCCGCCGCAGUAA